rnacentral:rRNA from 1 species
UGUUUGAAUUCCUGCUCAGGACGAACGCUGGCGGCGUGCUUAACACAUGCAAGUCGAACGAUGAAACCGCUUCGGUGGUGGAUUAGUGGCGAACGGGUGAGUAACACGUGGGCAAUCUGCCCUUCACUCUGGGACAAGCCCUGGAAACGGGGUCUAAUACCGGAUAACACUCUGUCCCGCAUGGGACGGGGUUGAAAGCUCCGGCGGUGAAGGAUGAGCCCGCGGCCUAUCAGCUUGUUGGUGGGGUAAUGGCCUACCAAGGCGACGACGGGUAGCCGGCCUGAGAGGGCGACCGGCCACACUGGGACUGAGACACGGCCCAGACUCCUACGGGAGGCAGCAGUGGGGAAUAUUGCACAAUGGGCGAAAGCCUGAUGCAGCGACGCCGCGUGAGGGAUGACGGCCUUCGGGUUGUAAACCUCUUUCAGCAGGGAAGAAGCGAAAGUGACGGUACCUGCAGAAGAAGCGCCGGCUAACUACGUGCCAGCAGCCGCGGUAAUACGUAGGGCGCAAGCGUUGUCCGGAAUUAUUGGGCGUAAAGAGCUCGUAGGCGGCUUGUCACGUCGGAUGUGAAAGCCCGGGGCUUAACCCCGGGUCUGCAUUCGAUACGGGCUAGCUAGAGUGUGGUAGGGGAGAUCGGAAUCCUGGGUAGCGGCAUG